rnacentral:rRNA from 1 species
UACGUAGGGUGCGAGCGUUGUCCGGAAUUAUUGGGCGUAAAGAGCUCGUAGGCGGUUUGUCGCGUCUGCCGUGAAAGUCCGGGGCUCAACUCCGGAUCUGCGGCGGGUACGGGCAGACUAGAGUGAUGUAGGGGAGACUGGAAUUCCUGGUGUAGCGGUGAAAUGCGCAGAUAUCAGGAGGAACACCGAUGGCGAAGGCAGGUCUCUGGGCAUUAACUGACGCUGAGGAGCGAAAGCAUGGGGAGCGAACAGG